rnacentral:rRNA from 1 species
UACGUAAAAGACUAGUGUUAUUCAUCUUUAGUAGGUUUAAAGGGUACCUAGACGGUAUAAUUAGUCUUAAACAAGAAACGGUUAUAGCUAGAGUUAUAUAUGAGAAGGGGAGUAUUUAUGGAGUAGAGUUGAAAUUCUUUGAUCCCAUAACGACUGGUAGCGGCGAAAGCAACCUUUUAUCUAAUAACUGACGUUGAGGGACGAAGGCUCGGGUCACGAACAGG